rnacentral:misc_RNA from 1 species
CACAAAAAUCGUGAAUGAAAUUUUUUACGGAUCUGGGUUUUCCGAAAUUUAAUUUGGUAACCUAAAAUUUAUCUUAACAAUAUUGAGGUAUGAUAUUGGAAAUGUUCUAUCUUGCAUAUUUUUUGUAAGUUCCGUUGACAAUGAUUACCGAUUGUUACGUCGUGUCAUUCAUCUUUUAUUUAGGUGAAAUGAUUCAAUCUUUUGAA